rnacentral:rRNA from 1 species
CUCCUACGGGGGGCAGCAGUAGGGAAUCUUCCACAAUGGGCGAAAGCCUGAUGGAGCAACGCCGCGUGGGUGAAGAAGGUCUUCGGAUCGUAAAACCCUGUUGUUAGAGAAGAAAGUGCGUGAGAGUAACUGUUCACGUUUCGACGGUAUCUAACCAGAAAGCCACGGCUAACUACGUGCCAGCAGCCGCGGUAAUACGUAGGUGGCAAGCGUUAUCGGGAUUAUUGGGCGUUAAAGGGAACGC